rnacentral:lncRNA from 1 species
CCUUCCUCCCGUUUUCCAGGGAUGCUGUUCUCCUGGGGCAGCCGGCGUGGCCAGGAACUGGGAAGAUAGCAUCUAUAUGGACUCCACAAGAGGGUUAGCAAUCCAGAUGGUGGGCAAGAGUACCAGAAAAGAAUCAACAAGAAAGUUUAAAAAUGAUCCAGAUAACCCCUGGUUCUUGCUUCUUUUAAAUGCAUAUGGAGAAGAGUUGAAAUGCUAUAGAAAAACAAGGAUGUGAAGUAAAACUCUCUCUUUGCUUCCCUCCCCCGUUCCACUUCCUCUUCCUAAAGCCUUGUGCCAUUCACGGUUUCUUACAUAUCUCUCCGGAAAAGGUUUAACGCAUUUGUCAGCAUCAUAAAUGCAUUAUGUAUAUCCUAUUCUUAGAAGAAGGUUCUCCCAGAAGUUAGGAGAGGUUGCUCUCUCUGCCCGAUGGUAGUUCAUUUUUAUGGGGUUUUCUCCUGUCCUGUCCUAACUGCAUUUAAGAACCAGUCCAAGGAACCAGGUGUCCUGUGUAGCCCAGCCUUGGGCUAACUGGGUGACAUCAGCAAGUCACUUCACCUCACUGAGGCUCAGUUUUCUCAUGGUGAAAAUGGGGAUUCUGGUGGGGGUGCCUUGGUAGUGUGCCUGCAGCAAGGCCUGGUUAGCUGGGAGGCGUGCCAUGCAUAUCAGAGCAUUCUCUUAGC